UGGUGGAUUAUCGGCCGUUUGCUCCACGCCGUUUACAUCAAUGCAUUAGUUUUGUUUUGGCUUCCAAGUCCUUGCCUUGCGCCGUUUACUUGACCUGUUUGUUUUGUUUUGGUUUUUGAGCCGCAAGUUAACGGUGCAAAAGUUAUAAAAAAUUUGCUUGUUCCUGCUUCUGAUUACGAGCAUUCUGAUUGUGGAAACGGCCCAAAUCGCCCGGUGGAUCACAAGUGAAACCGUACAGUCAAAGAAUAACUGGGCCACGGGUAUGUGAAUUUUGACGGUGUCUAUUACGAUGCCGUGGAGACCACCAGAGUUUAGUACGUAGUGCUCGACAAUAUCGAAUGUGCCGAACCGCGGGAGUUUAUGCGGGACGGGUUUCCCUGCGUCAAGUACACGGACCAUUUUCUUCGUGACCACACUGUUGUACAGUAUACUGUUGGAAUUUCUGGGCAUUUAGUGAUUCUGUCUCGGUCAGAUCGGUAUCGCCGUCGAAAAAUUGCUCACGCUGGGAGGCGUCGGAAUCUGGUGGAUUGUCGAUAUCGUGCUAUUAAUAACGAACAAUCUGCUGCCCGCGGAUGGGAGUAACUGGAACUGGAGGUGUAGCGUAGGGAGAGUUAUAGUGUGACAAUUGAAUAGAGGGAACAGACUGAUCGACUAUGGGAAUGGAUGAUAUGUUUCUACAAUACCAUGGCUUUCGAGGGCGCCAUCGAGGAGCCGCCUGGAUGUUAACGUAGGAGAUGCCAUAUGUGCGCGACUGCUAAUAACCAAUCGGGAUUUGGAACCGGAACUGAUUUGUGUUGAUUCCCGCCGGAAGAAAGGCAAAAUUGGUGUACUUCGCGAGGAAUACAUUUUUGGUUGCAGCAUCAAUUUGGUACGGAAAACUCGUAGUUCAAGUGCUGGCGAAACAGUAAUGGAAAUUACUGCGGUCGGCAAAGCGAUAUUAGCCGUGGAAUAUAAAUCUAACGAAGAGUUGAAGGAGUUUUGUGAUGAAAUAGGGAAUCACCUAGCGGGAUAGUGUAAGAAUUUUAUGAUUAUAUUUUCUCGUUAACCGAUUCUCUAGUUUGUAAUUAAUUUUUUAAUGUAAAACUUUCCAUAACAUCUCUCCUUGUCCUGCUCCUGACAAAAAGUUCAUCCACCAGACUCUCGUUCGCUUAAUAAAUUUCAAAUUACAA